rnacentral:misc_RNA from 1 species
GGGAAACAUAAGCGAGGAAAGAUCCCUCUUUGUCGUGCACUGGUGCGGCGUCGAACAGACACAUUGUGCGUGGGCAUUACAGCAAAGUCUACUAUUUACCACUCUUAGUGGGCAGUAAGACACCCAACGUUUCUCGAUUGAAUGUUUAGCCACAAAGCGUGUGGGUUCGUCGGAUUUAGCUGGAGAAAGGUCUCCAUUGUUGUAUCGAGGUAUGAGUCGAAGGGGCUUAGACUCGGUCAAGUACAUAGCCGCUAAAACCAGAAUUACUGCCAGGAUCAUCUUGCAUGAGCCCAUUGUGAAUAUCUGAAAAAAUACGUCAAGGUCGAUUAUCUCAAGCCUCGUUUUGAACUUACCUGGUAACGUUCUAAACAAGUGUGAAAUUACAUGUCGAGUAAGAAGAUGAUCCAUAAUAAAGCGAUUAUGUGCAAUUGAACCUUCACGGACAGAUAUACUUCUAGAAUAUCACAGAUCUUUGAGAAAGUGUGACUAACUAUGCCUCCCAAGAAGAAAAAAGAUGAUAAGCCCCCUCCCCAGGUGGGGCCUGGGAGUAAAAUAAGUGCCUUGCCCGAUCUGCUGAAGAAACACAUUAUAGUAGUGGAAGACUCAAGAGACAGACUCCUGAAGUUUUCAACCCAAAAACUGAAAGCCAUACCAACUGAAAUAUACAAAAAUGAAGAGGUCUGUGAACGUGCUGUUGAUCUUGACGCGCCAAAUAAUUUCAUUAAGAAGCUACCAGGUGCAAUAUCGGGACUGUCCGAAUUAAGACGACUGAACUUUAAGAACAAUGUAUUGACUCUAUUGCCAAGUUCUGUGUCAAAGAUGAAGCAACUGGUUUUCCUUGAUGCUUCAGAGAAUAACAUUCGGAUGCUGCCUACUACGAUUCACAAGGCAACAUCUUUGAAACAUCUUCAAGCCAACAACAACAGAAUCAAAUCCCUGCCGAGAAAUAUUGGAAAAUGUCCAAAACUGGCAUUCAUAAAUGUCUCACACAAUAACAUCAAAUCCCUAAAGAAAAACAUUUAUAACUUGACAGCUACAGUGGAUGUGUCUCAUAAUAAACUGACCACUCUACCAGAAGUGACUGUUACAAAAAAGCUACAAGCCAAUCUGAAUAAUCUGGAUGUUUCACAUAACAUGAUCGAAAUUCUGCCUGAAGGACUUGACAAACUCCUGUGUCUUCAGAGAUUCAACCUUUCCCAUAAUGAACUUGAGGAAUUACCCCCAUCUAUUGGCUCCCUCAAGUAUGUGAGCUUCUUGGAUAUAUCAAACAACCAUCUAGGUCAGCUCCCAAGUGAAAUCUGUAAUUUGGCCUUUGCUCUUCAGGAUUUCCACUGUAGCAACAAUGAGUUAAAGUCUCUCCCAGAAGAGCUCGCUAAUUUCAAGAAAUUAAACAUUCUUGAAGCGUCUGGCAACAAAAUCGCAACCUUGCCCCCUAAUUUUGAAUCAAUGAGGACAAUAACCCGUCUAGAUUUGUCAAAUAAUAACCUCUCUAAUGUAGAUGCUAUUGUUGGAUUGGUUAAGUGUGACUUCAUCGAUGUGUCUAACAAUAAAAUUGAAACCCUGCCAAAUCAAUUUGCAGAGUUGAAGGUUCUUACAGAGUUCAACUGUUCCCACAAUCUUCUGAAGGAUCUUCCAGAUGAGAUUGGACGAAUCCAAACCCUCAAAAGCUUAUAUGCAUCUAAUAACAGCAUACAUGCCCUCCCAAUUGGUCUUGGAGAUGAUCAACUGCUGAAGACUCUCAUAGUGUCAUACAACAAAAUCCUAGUUCUACAUGAAGACAUGAGGAAGCUUCGUGCUUUAGAAGUCCUGAAGGUUGACCAUAAUAAGAUGACCCAGAUGCCAAAAUCCUUUGAAUCAUCCCUCACAAUGCUCGAAGAGUUUGAUAUAUCUGGAAAUGAGGUGAUCAACCUUAAAUUGCCAACUUCAAUAAAAUCACUGAACAUUUCUGGGAACUGCAUUGACCUUCCUGCCAUGGAUCCAAAACAUUCUCUCCUUGUCACCCUUGGAGAUGACAAAUAUGGUCGUGUCCUGAAGGAGCUUGAUAUAUCGCACCUUGAAAUGGAUGAGCUACCCAAGUCAGUGUGUUCCCUGAGAUUGCUUACAAAGCUGAACAUAUCAAACAAUCAAAUUACAGGUCUCCCCAGCAAAAUAUGCCGCUUGAAAAUGUUGAUAUAUUUCGAUAUGUCGCACAAUCAAAUUGAGGAGCUCCCAGAUGCAUUUGGUGAAUCCAUGGGUGCAUUAAAGGUGUUCAAUGCUUCACAUAACAAAUUAUCCCAGUUCAAUGAGAGCCUCACUCAACUUCACAUGAUUGAGAAGUUGGAUCUAUCCCAUAAUAACUUCUCCCUGUUACCAGAAAACUUUGGACAGCUUCAUAAACUCACGUCUCUUAAUAUAUCAAACUGUGAGGUUCUCUGCUUGCCCAAUGAUAGAGUUGAUAUCCUUGCAUCCUUAUUGGAACUUGAUUUGUGCCAUAACCACAUAAAUGCCAUUCCCACAGAUUGGCCGUAUCUUUACAGAAUUGAGACUCUUAACCUAGCUUCAAACGACAUAUCGGAGCUGCCUAAAGAUAUAAUCAAAAUGAAAUCAUUGAAUCAUUUGGAUUUGCACGACAACAUCAUUGAGUCACUUCCUGAUACCAUGGUGAAGAUGAAUUGGUUAAAAUUCCUAGAUGUGAGUGACAAUAAAAUCACCAGAGCGAUCCCAAAAUGUAUCGAGGUUCUGAAGAGCAAAGGAUCAAAUAUCACAAUGUCGGAACAAUCUGGUUAUAAAUCACGAGAAGCUAGAGAAAGGCCAACAGAUAUCAAAGAGGAAUCGCCAAAGCCAAAAAAGAAAAGUCCGAAAGGAAAAAGGAAAUCAGCAACCAUGCAAACCAGCCCAACGCCAUCUAGAAAAAACAAAGUUGUUCCCACAGCUGCAAGCUGAGGAAAUGUAACAUAGUAUAUAGCCAUAUAUGGUUUAAAAAAUUCGCUUGUCGAAAUACAUGGCGAUUCUUCAAGUAAGCAUUGAGAUCACUUGGACGAAUUUCAAACAUGCUUUUCUUGGAAAACAAGAGUGUCAGUUGUCGAAGAGUGUCAGUAGUCACUCAUUCCAAAUGAAUGUGUGAGAAAUGAAAAUGAAGGAUACGCUGAAAUUCUGUGCAAAAGUAUUUAAAUCAGGAACAUAACAAUAUAAAUGCGCACACAGGGGACUCAAUUGAGUCAAAAUAUCACUGGACUUCAUUUUCUUUUCAAUUGAAAUAUAAACACCUGAGAAAAUAUUUUUGAAAAUUUUGUCAAGGCAAUUGCCUCCCCUCUUAUCCAGCUAUGCCUCUGACACAUGUACUCGUUUGUACUUACAUGAAUCCUUAUAGUAUUUCCCUUUGAGUAAAGGGUAAUAUUUUUCAUAUUGUUUCUGAAUUGAAAUUGCUUGCUUACAAGUAUCUUGUCAGUGAUCUCCCUAGCAUUAAAGCAAGUGGGAGCAGCACCCACCUGAGAUUUUAAAAAC